UAUAGAGGAGACAAGUUUAGGACUUCAAGAUAGAGUCCAUUCCUAACGUUGACACCCAAAAUCAUCCAGGUUCUACAUACAUGAAGACACAUUAGCACUUACUGAAGAGAGAACUCUAUCGCUGAUUGAGAGGACUGUGCUAGAUCCUAGAAUGCAAAUGAGCAUUUAAGCCUAACUGAUGGACA